UACGAAGGGGGCUAGCGUUGUUCGGAUUUACUGGGCGUAAAGCGCACGUAGGCGGAUUGUUAAGUGAGAGGUGAAAUCCCGGAGCUCAACUCCGGAACUGCCUUUCAUACUGGCAAUCUAGAGUCCGGAAGAGGUGAGUGGAACUCCUAGUGUAGAGGUGGAAUUCGUAGAUAUUAGGAAGAACACCAGUGGCGAAGGCGGCUUACUGGUCCGGAACUGACGCUGAGGUGCGAAAGCGUGGGGAGCAAACAGGG
rnacentral:rRNA from 1 species